AUGGUUGUUUACUAUGUUGUUUGCUUCUUUCCGGUGUUGCUUCUUCGGGUUGGUUCCGAUAACGUCGUGUUUGUGAGGAACCGUUCGACUACGUCCGUUUGUCUUCUUCAUGGACUCGUUCUUCUUCCUUGCAGGAUUUCAGGCAAGAUGACCAUACCCUUGAAAUCACUUCUAUCUUUGCUUGCUAGAUGCUCGCUCUUUUGCUAUGCCUAUGUUGUGAUACCUACCACUUGCUUAUCAUGCCUUGUCUUCUUCAUGGACUCGUUCUUCUUCCUUGCGGGAUUUCAGCUUGCAGGUGCCGUUGAACCGUGCAGGUGA
rnacentral:rRNA from 1 species